AGCGAACGCUGGCGGCAGGCUUAACACAUGCAAGUCGAACGGGCAUCUUCGGAUGUCAGUGGCAGACGGGUGAGUAACACGUGGGAACGUACCCUUCGGUUCGGAAUAACUCAGGGAAGCUUGAGCUAAUACCGGAUACGCCCUUUUGGGGAAAGGUUUACUGCCGAAGGAUCGGCCCGCGUCUGAUUAGCUUGUUGGUGGGGUAACGGCCUACCAAGGCGACGAUCAGUAGCUGGUCUGAGAGGAUGAUCAGCCACACUGGGACUGAGACACGGCCCAGACUCCUACGGGAGGCAGCAGUGGGGAAUAUUGGACAAUGGGCGCAAGCCUGAUCCAGCCAUGCCGCGUGAGUGAUGAAGGCCUUAGGGUUGUAAAGCUCUUUUGUCCGGGACGAUAAUGACGGUACCGGAAGAAUAAGCCCCGGCUAACUUCGUG
rnacentral:rRNA from 1 species